AUUGUAUCUUGUUUUGUUAAGAUAUAUUGCCUGCUCGAUGUUGAAAUGAAUGGCCGCGGUAUUUUGACCGUGCUAAGGUAGCAUAAUAAAUAGUCUAUUUAUUGUGGACUGGAAUGAAAGGUGGAAUGUGGUGUGUACUGUCUUGUGAUGAAAAAGUUGAAUUUUACUUUUAAGUGAGAAGGCCUGGAUGUGGUUAUUAGACGAGAAGACCCUAUAGAGCUUUAUUUAUAUUAUGUCUUAUUUGAGUAGAGAUAUGUUGGAUGAUUUAUGUAUAAAUUUUGUUGGGGCAAUGGUGAAAUAUUGAGAAAUUUUUAUUUUAGGUUUUGAAUUAUGGUGAUCCUUUUUAUUGAUAAGAAGAUUAAGUUACCUUAGGGAUAACAGCGUGAUUAUUUUGGAAAGUUCAUAUUGAUAAAAUAGAUUGCGACCUCGAUGUUGGUUUAUUGUUUCUGUAAGGUGUAGUAGCUUUAUGAGAG
rnacentral:rRNA from 1 species